UUUAAUUUGAUCAUGAAGCUAUUGUUUUUUCUGUGCUUGCUCCUUCUUCCAUUGUGUUCUUAUGGUUCCGAGGAGGCCAAACACGUGGAUCUCUCCAACAGCAAGAUUGAUGAUGAAGUGGGCAUAACGGACUACGAGGCACCAGGAGCCAACUGUCAACAUGACCCCAGUUGCGGACGUGGACAUCAUCCGCCAAACUCUGGGGCCCA